UACGAAGGGGGCUAGCGUUGUUCGGAAUUACUGGGCGUAAAGCGCACGUAGGCGGAUACUUAAGUCAGGGGUGAAAUCCCGGGGCUCAACCCCGGAACUGCCUUUGAUACUGGGUAUCUCGAGUCCGGAAGAGGUGAGUGGAAUUCCGAGUGUAGAGGUGAAAUUCGUAGAUAUUCGGAGGAACACCAGUGGCGAAGGCGGCUCACUGGUCCGAUACUGACGCUGAGGCACGAAAGCGUGGGGAGCAAACAGG
rnacentral:rRNA from 1 species